AGAAAGAGGACAGGUGGGAUGUUUGACCUGUCCUGUAAGGACAUCACAACAGAAAGAGGACAGAUGAGAUGUUUGACCUGUCCUGUAAGGACAUCACAACAGAAAGAGGACAGAUGAGAUGUUUGACCUGUCCUGUUAGGACAUCACAACAGAAAGAGGACAGAUGAGAUGUUUGACCUGUCCUGUUAGGACAUCAGAACAGAAAGAGGACAGGUGAGAUGUUUGACCUGUCCUGUUAGGACAUCACAACAGAAAGAGGACAGGUGAGAUGUUUGACCUGUCCUGUUAGGACAUCAGAACAGAAAGAGGACAGGUAGGAUGUUUGACCUGUCCUGUUAGGACAGAAAGACCUAUUCUGUU